CAAGUCGAGCGGACAGAUGGGAGCUUGCUCCCUGAUGUCAGCGGCGGACGGGUGAGUAACACGUGGGUAACCUGCCUGUAAGACUGGGAUAACUCCGGGAAACCGGGGCUAAUACCGGAUGCUUGAUUGAACCGCAUGGUUCAAUUAUAAAAGGUGGCUUCUACCUACCACUUACAAAUGGACCCCCGGCCCAUUACCUAUUUGGGAAGGUACCGGCUCACCAAGGCAACAAUCCUUACCCAACCUGAAAGGGUGACCGGCCACCCGGGAACUGAAACACGGCCCAAACCCCAACGGAAGGCACCAUAAGGAAACCUUCCCCAUGGAACAAAAUUCUAACGAACCACCCCCCCGGGAUUGAUGAAGGUUUUCGAACCGAAAACUUCUGUUGUAAGGAAAAAACAAUUACCGUUCAAAUAGGGCGGAACCUUGACGGUACCAACCCAAAAACCCACGGUUAACUACUUGCCACCACC
rnacentral:rRNA from 1 species